UACGAGGGGGGCGAGCGUUGUUCGGAAUUAUUGGGCGUAAAGGGUGCGUAGGCGGUUUGGUAAGUCUGAUGUGAAAUCUAUGGGCUCAACUCAUAGUCUGCAUCGGAAACUGCCGGGCUUGAGUAUGGGAGAGGUGAGUGGAAUUCCUGGUGUAGCGGUGAAAUGCGUAGAUAUCAAGAGGAACACCUGCGGCGAAAGCGGCUCACUGGACCAUAACUGACGCUGAUGCACGAAAGCUAGGGGAGCAAACAGG
rnacentral:rRNA from 1 species